AUUCCGUAACCUGUUGAGUAUCCGUUUGUUAUUAAAUAUGGGCCUCGUGCUCAUCCUGGCAACAGGAACGACCAUAAAGAAGCCGUCGAGAGAUAUCGGAAGAGUUUUCUUUUCUGUUUUAUAGCCGUACUACCAUGGAAGUCUUUCGCAGAGAGAUAUGGUAGAUGGGCUAGAAGAGCAUGACAUAUACUGUUGUGUCGAUAUUUUCUCCUCGGACCUUGAAAAUUUAUGGUGGGGACACGCAAACUUCUCAACAGGCCGUACCAAUAUCCGCAGCUGGUCUCCAAGGUGAAGAGUCUCUAGUCGAUAGAAUAAUGUAGGUAAGGGAAGUCGGCAAAUUAGAUCCGUAACUUCGGGAUAAGGAUUGGCUCUGAAGAUUGAGAUAGUCGGGCUUGAUUGGGAAACAAUAACAUGGUUUAUGUGCUCGUUCUGGGUAAAUAGAGUUUCUAUCAUUUAUGGUAGUUACUUGUUCCCCGGAUAGUUUAGUUACGUAGCCAAUUGUGGAACUUUCUUGCUAAAAUUUUUAAGAAUACUAAUUGGGUUAAACCAGUUAGUUCUUAUUAAUUAUAACGAUUAUCAAUUAACAAUCAAUUCAGAACUGGCACGGACUUGGAGAAUCCGACUGUCUAAUUAAAACAAAGCAUUGUGAUGGCCCUAGCGGGUGUUGACACAAUGUGAUUUCUGCCCAGUGCUCUGAAUGUCAAAGUGAAGAAAUUCAAGUAAGCGCGGGUCAACGGCGGGACGGUAACUAUGACUCUCUUAAGGAUCGGAAGAUAUGGGUCUGAAUAAUAGCGUAGAAGGGUGAGUCAUUCCGUAAUUCGUAAAUCGUAAAAAUCAGUAUCAAGUUGAUGUCAAGACCUCCUCGUGGUAUCUUCUGGAUGCUAUUAGACUGAAGUUCUUUUGGUCUAAUAGUAACUAACUUGAACAGCGAAACAGUCCUAUGAGGUUGCCAGCCCCUUGGACAGUUCAGUUUGAUUGGCACUAAUAUGCAAAAUACAACGCCUCGGAUAAUAAACACUAAUUCGUUGACGAACCAAAUCCCUACGGUCUCUAGCCUAGGGGCCCAAUCUGAACAUAGUGCACAGGUUAACCCAAACCAGUGGUUACCAAUGCACGAUAUGUGAAUCGUCUUUCCGUAGCAAAAAGCGGACUAGGCGUUCACAUGUCACGUCGGCACAAGGAACGAGUUUGAUCAACUUCGUCUGCGUACCGACCGUAAGGCACAAUGGAGUGAGGAAGAGUUGAGUAUGAUGGCAAGAAAAGAGAUCGAGCUCGCAGCAAAUGGAGAAAGAUAUCUAAAUAAGAAGCUAGCGGAAGUAUUUACGAACCGUAGCGUCGACGCUAUCAAGAAAUGUCGACAGAGGGAGAGAUAUAAGACCAAAAUCGAACAGCUAAAGGGUCAAGCUGUUCCUCUCCCAGAAGCAUUAGAAUCUGAAACCAUACAGCGCCGCCCUAGUAUACGCGAGCGAGAUCUCCUAGUAACGCCACCUAACACUCUCGGAACCACUCCAACCGAACUGUCGAACAGUGAAAUCCUGGCAGUACUACAGGGGUACCCACCUGUAGUAUGCAAUGACCAAUGGAGAGUUGAGGUUUUGCAAUCCAUCGUAGAUGGUGCGCAGGCCUCGGGUAAGGAAAUUACUCUUCAGCGCUUGUCUACUUACCUUAUGGAAGUAUUUCCCUCACAGAAUGACCGCCCCAUUCAAACGAGACCUCCACGGAGACCUCGUAAUAGGAGACAAGGUAGGAGACAGCAGUACGCCUUAACACAGCGGAACUGGGACAAGCACAAAGGUCGUUGUAUAAAAGCCAUUUUGGAUGGAACUGAGGGGACAGCAACUAUGCCAA
rnacentral:ncRNA from 1 species